rnacentral:rRNA from 1 species
GACGAACGCUGGCGGCGUGCUUAACACAUGCAAGUCGAACGGAAAGGCCCUGCUUUUGUGGGGUGCUCGAGUGGCGAACGGGUGAGUAACACGUGAGUAACCUGCCCUUGACUUUGGGAUAACUUCAGGAAACUGGGGCUAAUACCGGAUAGGAGCUCCUGCUGCAUGGUGGGGGUUGGAAAGUUUCGGCGGUUGGGGAUGGACUCGCGGCUUAUCAGCUUGUUGGUGGGGUAGUGGCUUACCAAGGCUUUGACGGGUAGCCGGCCUGAGAGGGUGACCGGCCACAUUGGGACUGAGCUACGGCCCAGACUCCUACGGGAGGCAGCAGUGGGGAAUAUUGAACAAUGGGCGGAAGCCUGAUGCAGCAACGCCGCGUGCGGGAUGACGGCAUUCGGGUUGUAAACCGCUUUCGCCUGUGACGAAGCGUGAGUGACGGUAAUGGGUAAAGAAGCACCGGCUAACUACGUG